ACAAGGGGUGCUGCGCCGGACGCGGCUGAGAGGGCGAAUGCCCGACCCUUCGACCUGAUCCGGGUAAUGCCGGCGGAGGGAUGUUU
rnacentral:ncRNA from 1 species